rnacentral:tRNA from 1 species
UCCCUGGUGGCUCAGACGGUAAAGCGUCUGCCUGCAAUGCGGGAGACCCAGGUUCGAUUUCUGGGUGGGGAA